rnacentral:rRNA from 1 species
UACGUAGGGUGCAAGCGUUAAUCGGAAUUACUGGGCGUAAAGUGUGCGCAGGUGGCCGCGCAUGUCGAGUGUGAAAUCCCCGGGCUUAACCUGGGAAUUGCAUUCGAGACUGCAUAGCUAGGGUGCGGAAGAGGGAAGCGGAAUUUCCGGUGUAGCGGUGAAAUGCGUAGAUAUCGGAAGGAACACCAGUGGCGAAAGCGGCUUCCUGGUCCAGCACCGACGUUCAAGCACGAAAGCGUGGGGAGCAAACAGG